rnacentral:rRNA from 1 species
GACGAACGCUGGCGGCGUGCUUAACACAUGCAAGUGGAGCGACGAACCAGGGCUUGCCCUGGGGCAGAGCCGCGAACGGGUGAGUAACACGUGGGUAACGUGCCCCAAUGAUCGGGACAACCCGGGGAAACCCGGGCUAAUACCGGAUGUGCUUCCCUCACACCAGUGAGGGAUGGAAAGGAAGCUUCGGCCUCCGCAUUGGGAUCGGCCCGCGGCCCAUUAGCUUGUUGGUGAGGUAAGGGCUCACCAAGGCUGCGAUGGGUAGCUGGUCUGAGAGGACGAUCAGCCACACUGGGAAUGAGACACGGGCCAGACUCCUACGGGAGGCAGCAGUGGGGAAACUUGCGCAAUGCGGGAAAGCGUGACGCAGCAACGCCGCGUGGGGGAAGAAGGCCUUCGGGUUGUAAACCCCUUUCAGGAGGGACGAAGCGUGGGCGGUUAAUAGCCGAUCCACGUGACGGUACCUCCAGAAGAAGCCCCGGCUAACUACGGGCCAGCAGCCGCAGUAACAC